rnacentral:lncRNA from 1 species
AAAAUCCAAGGCAACACAGAAGUAAUAUUUAUUGGGAGCCCACUUUGUGUCAAACACUGUGCAAGGUGCUUUACAGAAAGGAUCAUUUGUUGAACUCAGUCACUGUGCUGUGAAAAAAGCCAACAUUUCCAAUGAAGAGACCACAUGGAGAAACAUGUAGAGAGGAACCAAGGCCCCUAGCUGAUAGCCAGCAUUAGCCAUCAAGCAUGUGAAUGAAUGAACCUUCAGAUGAUUCCUGCUCUCUGUCAUUGAGUCUUCCACUUGUGACCCCAGACAUGGUAGAGGAGAUACAAGCCAUCUUCACCGUGCCUGUUUGGAUUCCUGAGUCACAGAAGUUGUGAAAGAUAAGUGAUUAUUGUUGCUUUAAGUCACUAUGUUUUGUGGUAAUUUGUUACUCAGUGAUAGAUAAUGAAUACACUUGUACUUGGUAGACUGGAGCAGUGACUUGUAAUGUAUAUAUUUUUAAAUCAUAGAUUCAUUAGAAAAUUUGAUGAAAACUGAAGUGACCUCCAUGACCCCCACAUUCUGGUGUUCAUACCCAUGUAUAAUCUCCUUCUCUUAGGUGUGGGCAGGACAUUUGGCUUGCUUAUAACCAAUAGAAUAUGGCAAAGGCUUUGAGCUGUCACUUCAGUGAUUAUGUUAGCUUAUAUAAGACUUUCUCUUGCUAGCAGACUCACUCUAGCGUCUUGCUUUCCUGGUUUGUUUUGAUGAACCAAGCUGCCAUGAAUCUUACAACCACAAGGAAAUGAAUUCUGCCAACACCCAGAGUAAACUUGUAAGCAGACCCCAGUUGAGCCUGAAGAUGAGAACAGAGGCCUAGCUCACACCUUGAUGGCAACGUCACAGAGAACAUUGCUAAGCCAUGCAUAGACUUACUGACCCACCUCAACCAACUGUGAGAUAAUAAAUGCCCUGACUAAUCCACUGCCUUAUAGGAUUAUUGGGAGGACCAAUGAAACUUUUGCACAUAAAGCCUUUGGAAUAGUGCAGACACAGAGAAUCAUACAGGAUGAAUCCGAAAGAGAAGACAACAUAGAUAGGAAUGAGAACCUGUUAAGAGGCCAUUGCUACAGUUCAAACAAGAGGACUGGAGAUAAAAAAUCAGAAAAAGAAGAGGUUUCUCUAUGUUUACCAGGCUGGUCUCAAGCUCCUGUCCUCAAGUGA